AUCACUUCUCGACUCUUUGAGUUAAGAUAAUGUGUAGUAUCUGUUCUUUGCAAUGUAAUUUCUGAAACUGUCUCUAAACUUAGACCAAUGAAAUUACCUGUAAAAAAAGGCCCUCA
rnacentral:snRNA from 1 species